CUGCUCUCAAGGAUGCUCUUUAGCCAAUUCAAAGCAUGAGAUUUUAUCAAGUAUUUAUCCUAAAAAUCCAACCAAUCAGUGUACACAAAAUUUCUGUCAAGAAUUUGGAAGUGUAAAUGUGGCAUUAGAGGACCUCAAUUCUGAAGAGAACACAUUAGGAAAACCAUUUAAAAUUAUGCUGAUGAACAUUGCAGACGAAACUAAGAAAACUCAGCUCAUGAAGAGCUUGGAUUGUCUCCUCCAGUUGGUUAAAGGAAAGCUACCGGGAAGGCAGAUUUGUUGACGAGUUGCCUUACAUACUAAAUGAUGAUGACUACAUAUCGAAGUAUCGAGCCAGCCUAAAAGCUGCAGUUCUCAGGGCAAAAGCAUGUUCUUGAGCUUUAUUUGAAGGGUAUGAUGUUUGCAUAUCAGCUCACGCUCAACCACCACCUAAAACUCUAUCCCUGAUAGUCAAGUCAGCCGGUGGAAAUGUGAUUCAUGAGCUAGAUAAAGUAAACAACGUAUGGAAGAUGAUCUUUGUGGCUUGUGAGGAAGACGUGGAGGAAGCCUUGGUGGCCGUAGAAAAAGGGA